AUAAAACUGGUUUUGAAUGACAUGAGAAUGAAUAAACGAUGACAAAAAUAUUUUCGGGGUCAACUAUCCUUUUAAAGCGGACCCAUCUUCUUGUUCUGACAGGUAUUCGGAACCCGUAUGAAGCUACAUUAAGGAGGUCCUCAUGCAAUGAAUGCGGAGAUCCUCUUGUAUGUGUAGUGGAUUCUUGGUUUUUUUUUUCAUCGGGACCUCUAUAGAUCAAAGCAUGAGCACCUGACCUAAUGAUGAGCUCUUUGGCUGACUUUCACUGGAAGCUUUUCUCCCUACACACUGUUUACACAGUUACAUAUGUCUGGACUCAUAAGAGCGCUGGAGGGUUGUGGCCCGUCGCGGGUUGAGCGAUCCGCGCCACUAACGUGAGAAACUCGGCGCAACAUGACAGAUGGGUUGGCCAACCUCUCUGAGGACAGUGUAAUGUGGACCUGUGUGUGCUUGACAGGACGGCAGAGAUCAAACGACAUUCUGGAAGGUGAAGUGCCUUUCCUUUAGCCAACUUCCCUGUGUGACGUGUGGCACAAGAGAGCAUUCAC